rnacentral:lncRNA from 1 species
AAAAGCAUAAUAGAUAGAAUAUAGAUUCAUAACUCAUGUAGAAAUCUGGAAAUUUCAGCAAUUAAUCUCAAAAAUCUCAACAUACUCAUAUACUUCAAUGUUUCAAAUAUUUCAACUAUUAACUUCUCAAGGAUUAAAAUUAUGGGGUAUAGACUAAGCUACAAUUUCUCAAGAAAAUAUGUGAAAAUCAUGCCAUUAGACU